UCAAAAACAUGGCCUUUUUUUAUUUUAAGGUCCGGCCUGCCCACUGAAAUUUGAAGGGCCGUGGUAUAUUGACCAUGCGAAGGUAGCAUAAUCAUUUGCCCUCUAAUUAGGGGCUGGAAUGAAGGGUCAGACGAGGAACAAUCUGUCUCUACUUUUAUUUUGAAGUUAAUUUUUUGGUGAAAAAGCUAAAAUUUUCUUGGAGGACGAUAAGACCCUAUAGAUCUUUAUAGGCUAAGGUUCUAUUAAUUGGAUGUUAAUUAAUAGGAUUCUCGCUUAUUUUGUUGGGGCGACGUUGAGAGGAGAUAGAUCCCUCAAUUUGGUUAAACAAACACAAUUGUUUAAAUGAUCCUUUAGUGAAUCAGGAUUAAGUUACCUUAGGGAUAACAGCGUAAUUCUUCUUGAGAGCUCAAAUCGACAGAAGAGUUUGCGACCUCGAUGUUGGUUCAGGGUCCCUACUAGGUGUAGCAGCUUAGAAAGGUAGUCUGUUCGACUAUUAAACCCCUACAUGAUCUGA
rnacentral:rRNA from 1 species